rnacentral:rRNA from 2 species
AUGGUUAAGUUAGAAAGGGCGCACGGUGAAUGCCUUGGCACUAGGAGCCGAUGAAGGACGGGACUAACACCGAUAUGCUUCGGGGAGCUGUAAGUGAGCUUUGAUCCGGAGAUUUCCGAAUGGGGAAACCCACUGUUCGUAAUGGAACAGUAUCUUUAUCUGAAUACAUAGGAUAUUGAAGGCAGACCCGGGGAACUGAAACAUCUAAGUACCCGGAGGAAGAGAAAGCAAAUGCGAUUUCCUGAGUAGCGGCGAGCGAAACGGAAUUAGCCCAAACCAAGAGGCUUGCCUCUUGGGGUUGUAGGACACUCUAUACGGAGUUACAAAGGAACGAAGUAAAUGAAGCGACCUGGAAAGGUCCGUCGAAGAAGGUAACAACCCUGUAGUUGAAACUUCGUUCCCUCUUGAGUGGAUCCUGAGUACGGCGGAACACGUGAAAUUCCGUCGGAAGCUGGGAGGACCAUCUCCCAAGGCUAAAUACUACCUAGUGACCGAUAGUGAACCAGUACCGUGAGGGAAAGGUGAAAAGCACCCCGGAAGGGGAGUGAAAGAGAUCCUGAAACCGUGUGCCUACAAGUAGUCAGAGCCCGUUAACGGGUGAUGGCGUGCCUUUUGUAGAAUGAACCGGCGAGUUACGAUCCCAUGCAAGGUUAAGCUGAUAAGGCGGAGCCGUAGCGAAAGCGAGUCUGAAUAGGGCGUUUAGUAUGUGGUUGUAGACCCGAAACCAGGUGAUCUACCCAUGUCCAGGGUGAAGUUCAGGUAACACUGAAUGGAGGCCCGAACCCACGCACGUUGAAAAGUGCGGGGAUGAGGUGUGGGUAGCGGAGAAAUUCCAAUCGAACCUGGAGAUAGCUGGUUCUCUCCGAAAUAGCUUUAGGGCUAGCCUCAUGUUGUGAGAGUCUUGGAGGUAGAGCACUGAUUGGACUAGGGGCCCCCAACGGGUUACCGAAUUCAGUCAAACUCCGAAUGCCAAAGACUUAUCCAUGGGAGUCAGACUGCGAGUGAUAAGAUCCGUAGUCAAAAGGGAAACAGCCCAGACCACCAGCUAAGGUCCCCAAGUAUACGUUAAGUGGAAAAGGAUGUGGAGUUGCUUAGACAACCAGGAUGUUGGCUUAGAAGCAGCCACCAUUUAAAGAGUGCGUAAUAGCUCACUGGUCGAGUGACUCUGCGCCGAAAAUGUACCGGGGCUAAACGUAUCACCGAAGCUGUGGAUUGACAUCUU